CGCUCUGACUUGAUUAGCAGCUAUUUAUCCUUCGGUCUCGGAGGUGUCCCAACCCGGAGGCUCUCACAGCUUCCCCUCUUAUUUCCAACUUGACUGUCUCCCCUGCUAUGCCAUGAGCUCCCCAGAACGGGGCCCGGGCUUGCUCAGCACUAUGUCUCCAGUGUCUGACCAUUACAGAGACAGAACUAGUGUCUCCAGUGCUCGACCCCUCCGAGCCCAGGCACACAGGCUCAGUCAACGUUCGACGGGAAGAUGACCGAACGAGCGAUCCCACAGAGGGAAGAGCCUAAUCCCAACGGGGAGACGUGCACUCAAAAGUUGUAUGCAGGUACUAGCAAAUAUUCCUGUAGGAACGCACCGAGGUGUGUGCAGAAGGUACUUGAGAAAAAUAAAGUUAGGAUACUCUCUUCUGUCUAAAACGCCCCUUCGAACCUCCGUGCCAGGCCCCGCGCUGCCAUCUGUCCACACAGAUGGACAAAUUAGGGUCCUGUUAGUCCAGCGGGGAGACAGUCCCUUGAGGGUCCCCUGAGUUUGCUGAAAGCCACUCCCACCGCCCCCUCCAAUCACAGAAGCGCCUACACAGCCCAUUCUGCAUAUAAUUUGAAGGGGGGGUCACAGCACCCAGAAGGCAGCUGAGGACCACGGCUUGACUAUCCCUGGUGUAGCUGGAUCGAGAAAAAUCAAAUGAAUGGCUUGGAGCGCAAGCCGGCCCAUGACACAACUGAGGAAGGAACCCAGGGCUUCGGAAGAGGUCGCGGAAACAGGGGCUUGAGGCAGGGAUGGGACGGCGGCGGCAGGACCGAGGGAUCACGUUAAGAUAUCUGUCCCACUCUCCAGAUAAAACGAAGCCGAGCAAAGAUUUCAGAGCGAAAAGCGCCGUAAACGCCAGGCCGGCUCGGAAAGAUGACGCAACCGCCGCGCGAGUUCCCACCAACUCGCGACUGCCCCGCCCCUGCCCGGUGCAUUGUGGGUCUUGGAGGCGCCCACGGGGCGUUGGGUCUCGCGAGCGAGCGCGAGCGGGAUUCACGCGGAUGACAGAAUCCAGCGGGGAGGGGCGUCCUCUGCUUCCGUUCCUCCGGGCGAAGUCCCGCCCCCUGACCGGGAAGGGCCAAUCCCAAGGCCUCCUCGUCCCGGCCGCGGGGAUUGGUCCGAAGAUUCACAAGACCGGAAGGGUCGCCGGUCACGUGACCGAGAGACACUCCGCCACGUGACCGAGGCGGCGGCGUCCUUGAACCUGGGUUUUAUCUGCGGCGGGAAAGGGCGCGAGAGACCCAGACCUAAAACCCGGGUUCGGGACGGCGAAGCUCGCGGACUGCUGCGAGGCCCCGGCCUCCUGCGGCCGUGGGCAGGCUCUGUCAGAGUGAUCAGGGCCUCAGGCCCCUCGCCUGUGAGUGAAAUGGGCACAGCGUGCCCCGAAGAACAAGAUUGCCCGACGCCCACGGGACGCAGAGUGCGUAGAAAUGCCCUGCCGAUGUGAAGCGGGGACCCCUCUCCAGCUGCUCAGAAAGCUGGCCUUGAAUCAGAUUGUUGAGCGGAGCAGAGCCCCUGUCCGUGGCUGACUUAAGCGACCAAGUCGCAGGUAGUAGGUAUGUGGCGCGGACCUACACCCUUUGGAUACGGGCCACUUGACUUUUGUUAUCUUACUAAGUCGACAACCACAGUGACGGUGCAGUAGUGUCGGCGAGGCGCAGAGACGGGGAGAGCCUUUGCUGAGGCCGCAGAGCCUGGAAGUGGAUGAGCCUCGGUUGGACCCAGGCGUCAGCCUGCGCAACCGGCAAACCCUCCGCCAGGUGGCUUUUGCACCGACAGGCUAUGAUGGGCGAGACGACUGGGAGCGCACAUCACCACAGUCCCCAUGCUGUGCAGAGUCACCCGAGCCACGUUGGCUCUCCCAUUCCCUACUGUUAACUGCUCAAGAUAAUGGUGACCAUGGAGGCUGGAGCCAGCGACUUCCCAUUCUCCCCUUCCCACCGGGGCAGAACUGGUGUCUUGAGUCCUUUACCCCAGGGGCAGGAAGUAUGUCGGGCAUCGCCAGGAAACGAGGAGAAGCACAGUGAGUGAGGAACCUGGAAGCCAGAACUGGAAGAAAGGGGAUGAGAAAUGGGCAAAAGCUGAAAGAAAACAAGCACCAGCAAUUUACUUCAUUCAAGUCUACAAGUAUUUAUUGAACACCUACAGGGUACCAGACACUGCACUGAUAGAAUUUACUUUCUAGUGCAGGAAAGAGACAGUAAAAGAUAAAUGAUAUCAUACUAUAAGCGUCUCUGAAUAUGCUGCCGAGGGAUGGAGGCUGCUGCUUGUGGCUGCGUUUUGGUGUUCUGCCUGACGAGUGACAGCACCUGGCGCAGCCCCACCCUGCGUGGAAAGGACGGGACGUUGGCUAGGGCAGCAGGAGGGUCGGGGGUGGUUAAGACAAGAUCGGGGACGGUGGGGACCGCUCUGCGAUCCUGGAAGCAACAGGUGCGGCACCCAGCCCGGCGGGGCGCGACCUGCAGUUACACCGAGAAGCCACUAGGUGUCAGGACGCCCUUUGGCCUGCGUUUGGUGCCAGCUAGCCCAGUGACCUGGGCACCUGUUUCUGGGCGGAUGCUCAGGAGAUCCUUGAGCACCCUCUGAGAUCAUGGUUUGCACCGAGUCCAUUCAUAUAUGUAACUAGAUAAGGACAACAAUUGUAUUUUUUAAAUAAAUUUUUU